GUGAUUCUGGUGCAGUGGUAGCACGCCUGUCUGUGAAACAGGAGACGAGGGUUCGAUUCCCCGAUUCACCCCA
rnacentral:tRNA from 1 species